ACGAACGCUGGCGGCAUGCCUAACACAUGCAAGUCGAACGCCCCGCAAGGGGAGUGGCGCACGGGUGAGUAACGCGUGGGGAUCUGCCCAUCGGUGGGGAAUAACCUCGGGAGACUGAGGCUAAUACCGCAUACGCCCUGUAAAGGGGAAAGAUUUAUCGCCGAUGGAUGAACCCGCGUCCGAUUAGCUUGUUGGUGAGGUAAUGGCUCACCAAGGCUUCGAUCGGUAGCUGGUCUGAGAGGAUGACCAGCCACACUGGGACUGAGACACGGCCCAGACUCCUACGGGAGGCAGCAGUGGGGAAUAUUGGACAAUGGGCGCAAGCCUGAUCCAGCAAUGCCGCGUGAAUGAUGGAGGCCUUAGGGUUGUAAAGCUCUUUAGCCGAUGAUUAUAAUGACUGUAGUCGGAAAAUAAGCCCCGGCUAACUUCGU
rnacentral:rRNA from 1 species